UCCUAUAGCUUACGAGCCUGAGCUUCGGCUUAGGUAAGGCUGGUGGUUUUUUAACCACCGGCCU
rnacentral:sRNA from 1 species